rnacentral:rRNA from 1 species
UACGAAGGGGGCUAGCGUUGCUCGGAAUCACUGGGCGUAAAGGGUGCGUAGGCGGGUCUUUAAGUCAGAGGUGAAAGCCUGGAGCUCAACUCCAGAACUGCCUUUGAUACUGAGGAUCUCGAGUUCGGGAGAGGUGAGUGGAACUGCGAGUGUAGAGGUGAAAUUCGUAGAUAUUCGCAAGAACACCGGUGGCGAAGGCGGCUCACUGGCCCGAUACUGACGCUGAGGCACGAAAGCGUGGGGAGCAAACAGG